GGUUAGUGGCGGACUGGUGAGUAACACGUAAGCAACCUGCCUAUCAGAGGGGAACAACAGUUAGAAAUGACUGCUAAUACCGCAUAUGCCUUAAUCAUCACAUGAUGAUAGAGGGAAAGGAGCAAUCCGCUGAUAGAUGGGCUUGCGUCUGAUUAGAUAGUUGGUAAGGUAACGGCUUACCAAGUCGACGAUCAGUAGCCGGACUGAGAGGUUGAACGGCCACAUUGGGACUGAGAUACGGCCCAGACUCC
rnacentral:rRNA from 1 species